GGGGCGUUGUUAUAACGGCUAUUAUGUCUGCCUGUCUAGUAGACGACACGGGUUCGACUCCCGUACGCCUCGCCA
rnacentral:tRNA from 1 species